rnacentral:rRNA from 1 species
UAGUGGCGGACGGGUGAGUAACGCGUGGGAAUUUGCCUUUCGGUGCGGGACAACCAAGGGAAACUUUGGCUAAUACCGCAUACGCCCUACGGGGGAAAGAUUUAUCGCCGAAAGAGAAGCCCGCGUCGGAUUAGCUAGUUGGUAGGGUAAAAGCCUACCAAGGCUACGAUCGGUAGCUGGUCUGAGAGGAUGAUCAGCCACACUGGGACUGAGAUACGGCCCAGACUCC